rnacentral:rRNA from 1 species
GAAUUCAACUCCUACGGGAGGCAGCAGUGGGGAAUAUUGCACAAUGGGGGAAACCCUGAUGCAGCAACGCCGCGUGAGUGAUGAAGGUCUUCGGAUUGUAAAACUCUGUCUUCAGGGACGAUAAUGACGGUACCUGAGGAGGAAGCCACGGCUAACUACGUGCCAGCAGCCGCGGUAAUACGUAGGUGGCAAGCGUUGUCCGGAUUUACUGGGCGUAAAGGGAGCGUAGGUGGAUAUUUAAGUGGGAUGUGAAAUACUCGGGCUUAACCUGGGUGCUGCAUUCCAAACUGGAUAUCUAGAGUGCAGGAGAGGAAAGUAGAAUUCCUAGUGUAGCGGUGAAAUGCGUAGAGAUUAGGAAGAAUACCAGUGGCGAAGGCGACUUUCUGGACUGUAACUGACACUGAGGCUCGAAAGCGUGGGGAGCAAACAGGAUUAGAAACCCUAGUAGUCCAGGCGUU